GCCAGCCAUCAGCUCUGGGUAGCGGCAUCCUUGGCUUCACGCACCAGUUAACAGGCUGCGAGCUGCUCCGCUUGUUUCAAGCUCUCCCUCUCGCUUAAUCUCAUCUUGUUCGGUGUGUGUGUGUGUGUGUGCGCGUGUGUAGGGGGAGGACUUUAUUUCCAUUGGCUCGGCUUUCGCUUCCCACCCACAUCUCUUCCACAUCACCUUGGUGUCUCCCUAAAUAAAACCAGCCCUUCUUAUCACACCGACGAAAUCAAGAGCUAGAGUUUGAAUGGAUGUUUGUAUAAAUAUUUACCCCUACGAAGCUAUUGCUGAGCUGGUGGGAUAAGCUUGUGGCAGCUGGUCUGAGACUGUCUUUGCUCUCUCUCCUCUAAAAGGCUCUAAUUACUUUCCAGAGGGGAGGGGAAGGAUCCCAGUUCUUGCUACAGUCUGACCCAAAAAGCAGUGCAAGGAUUUCACCAGCUACUCCCAAUGGAUCUGAAGGACAGCACCAGCGAGGGCAGCAUGGGGAGCCUGCAGCCUUCCAGCAUCCAGAUUUUUGCCAACACCUCCACACUCCACGGGAUCCGUCAUGUCUUCGUCUAUGGGCCAGUGACCAUCCGGCGUCUGCUCUGGACCUUGGCCUUUGUGGGCUCUCUGGGGCUCCUCCUGGUGGAGAGCUCGGACCGGGUGACUUUCUACUUCUCCUACCAGCAUGUCACCAAAGUGGACGAGGUGGUGGCAAACAGCCUGGUGUUCCCUGCCGUCACCAUCUGUAACCUCAAUGAGUUCCGCUUUUCCCGGCUGACCACCAAUGAUCUGUACCAUGCUGGGGAGCUGCUGGCUCUGCUCGACGUCAACCUGCAGAUCCCCAACCCUCACCUGGCUGACCCGGCUGUCUUAGCCAUCCUCCAAGAGAAAGCCAACUUUAAGCAGUAUAAACCUAAAGUUUUCAACAUGCAGGAGUUCCUGGCACGGGUUGGCCACGACCUGAAGGAUAUGAUGCUGUACUGCAAAUUCAAAGGUCAAGAAUGUAACCAUGAGGACUUCAAAACUGUGUUUACAAAAUAUGGGAAAUGCUAUAUGUUUAACUCAGGAGAAGAAGGACGGCCUCUUCUUACCACAGUUAAGGGUGGGACAGGCAAUGGAUUGGAAAUCAUGCUAGACAUCCAGCAGGAUGAAUAUUUGCCAAUAUGGGGAGAAACAGAAGAGACGACAUUCGAGGCUGGAGUCAAAGUUCAGAUCCACAGCCAGUCGGAGCCGCCGUUCGUCCAGGAGCUCGGCUUCGGGGUGGCUCCUGGAUUCCAGACCUUUGUGGCCACCCAAGAGCAAAGGCUGACCUACCUGCCUCCGCCGUGGGGUGAAUGUCGCUCGUCAGACAUGGGCUUAGACUUCUUUCCCGUUUACAGCAUCACGGCUUGCAGGAUCGACUGCGAGACGCGGUACAUUGUGGAAAACUGCAACUGCAAAAUGGUUCACAUGCCAGGGGAUGCUCCCUUCUGUACCCCAGAGCAGUACAAGGAAUGUGCAGAGCCUGCGCUUGGUUUGCUUGCUGAAAAAGACAGCAAUUACUGCAUCUGCAGGACACCCUGUAACCUGACCAGGUACAACAAAGAGCUCUCCAUGGUCAAGAUCCCCAGCAAGACUUCAGCCAAGUACCUGGAGAAGAAAUUUAACAAAUCAGAAAAAUAUAUCUCAGAAAAUAUUCUUGUCUUGGACAUAUUUUUUGAGGCACUCAACUAUGAGACGAUUGAGCAGAAGAAAGCCUAUGAAGUGGCAGCCUUACUUGGUGACAUUGGAGGCCAGAUGGGGCUAUUUAUUGGUGCUAGUAUCCUCACUAUACUAGAGCUCUUUGAUUAUAUAUACGAGCUGAUCAAGGAGAAAUUAUUAGACCUACUUGGCAAGGAGGAAGAGGAAGGGAGCCAUGAUGAAAACGUGAGCACUUGUGACCCCAUGCCAAACCAUUCGGAAACCAUCAGCCACACUGUGAACGUGCCACUGCAGGCCACCCUGGGAACACUGGAGGAGAUCGCCUGCUGACACCGCCCGACCUCUGCACAGUGCCAACACCUAAGGAAGGGAAACUGCACGGGAAAGCAGGGACCGAGCUCAGUCUCUGAUUUUCACUACAAGAAGGAACUCGCGGGCCCAGCCAUCCCCUGAAAUCACCAUUACUAACGUCGUAGGCUGAAUUAGAAUAAAGAAACAAAAAGUCGCAGCUCUUGGAUUCUUCUUACGUUCUUGUCCUUCGUGUCAGUCUGUGAUGAAUCUUAAGCUAAGCCAGGUCCCCGAGGCCGGGCCACCUCAGCGCUGCCCGACACCCCCAGGUGAGCAUCCCUGCGGAGGGGCAACCGUGUGGCUCUCGGUGGAUCGUCCCCACCCGGCUGCUGUGUCAUGCUCCUCCAUCUGCAGUGC